CCCGUGCCUUUCUAAAAAUGAAUCAUUAACGAAGGGGAAAUCGUACACCUGACAGCUCCCGCCCAGCCUGCUUCCUGGAGAGGGGGGGAUGCCAAGUGAUAUUUAGGGUGGACACACUCUCGACACAUCGGCACCCCCUAAAGCAAUAAGCGGCUACACGGACGCGAGGAAACAUCUGCAGAGGAAACCGAAGUACAGGAGACUGGGGAUGGUGCUGGAAGAUGAAAGGAACACAAGAAUCCCUGUGCAUCCCAGAAGGUUAAGAUUUCCAAGUCAGAGAGAAUCCCUGUGCCAUCUCACAUUCGCGAUGUUCCAGAUGCAUUCAUUAGCCCCUGAUGGAAACGACAGAAGCUUCGUUCAUGGGAUACAGGAUCACGGGUUGCCACAGGAAACUGGGCCUGGCAUCAUCACUGUCAUAAGGACCUCCCCACUGCAUGGCACACUGGACGCAGGAGCCCAGUGAGGCUCAUGCAGUGUGCUGUACAGGGUGUUCUCUGCACAGCUGCUUUUGACAUUAAACUGUUACCAAAUGUUAGGCAAGAAAACGCAUCCCAUCGGCCGGCCUACAGGAACGCUCUCAGAAGGUGUACAGCAUUAGAAACAACCAGUAGUUUUAAGCAAAACAUUCAUUUCAAGUAGUAAUAAAUUUAAACCCAAAUUAUAGUUCAAAAACAGCUGUUUUGGGUUAAAAGGUUCAUUGACAAUCAGUCUCAUUGGAUGCUUUUUAAUUGGU